UACGGGGGGGCAAGCGUUGUUCGGAAUUACUGGGCGUAAAGGGCUCGUAGGUGGCCAACUAAGUCAGACGUGAAAUCCCUCGGCUUAACCGGGGAACUGCGUCUGAUACUGGAUGGCUUGAGUUCGGGAGAGGGAUGCGGAAUUCCAGGUGUAGCGGUGAAAUGCGUAGAUAUCUGGAGGAACACCGGUGGCGAAGGCGGCAUCCUGGACCGACACUGACGCUGAGGAGCGAAAGCCAGGGGAGCAAACGGG
rnacentral:rRNA from 1 species